rnacentral:rRNA from 1 species
UACGUAGGCAGCAAGCGUUGUUCGGAGUUACUGGGCGUAAAGGGUGCGUAGGCGGUCCUAUAAGUAUGGUGUGAAAUCUCCCGGCUUAACUGGGAGGGUGCGCUAUAGACUGUGGGACUAGAGUGUGGGAGAGGAAAGUGGGAAUUCCUGGUGUAGCGGUGAAAUGCGUAGAUAUCAGGAGGAACACCGGGUGGUGUAAACGGCUUUCUGGACCAUAACUGACGCUGGAGGCACGAAAGCGUGGGUAGCAAACAGG